GGUUUUAUGGGAAGACCUGCGUAAUUAAGGACGGCUGGCCAUUGGACUUGGACGCUUUUACCAUAUUCAUGAGAAAUGACUAUCUGAAAAAAUAUUAUCGGAAUCGUCCACCACCAACCUAUGGAAUAAUACCAUUUGAGGUCUCUUGUGCUGAACAAUUAGAAUGGAGAGGCAUGAGUGCUAAAG